CCUACGGGCGGCUGCAGUGGGGAAUAUUGGACAGUGGGGGGAACCCUGAUCCAGCCAUGCCGCGUGUGUGAAGAAGGCCCUCGGGUUGUAAAGCACUUUCAGUGAGGAAGAACGCCUGGUGGUGAAUACCCAUCAGGAAAGACAUCACUCACAGAAGAAGCACCGGCUAACUCCGUGCCAGCAGCCGCGGUAAUACGGAGGGUGCGAGCGUUAAUCGGAAUUACUGGGCGUAAAGCGCGCGUAGGUGGCUUGAUAAGCCGGUUGUGAAAGCCCCGGGCUCAACCUGGGAACGGCAUCCGGAACUGUCAAGCUAGAGUGCAGGAGAGGAAGGCGGAAUUCCCGGUGUAGCGGUGAAAUGCGUAGAGAUCGGGAGGAAUACCAGUGGCGAAGGCGGCCUUCUGGACUGACACUGACACUGAGGUGCGAAAGCGUGGGUAGCAAACAGGAUUAGAUACCCGAGUAGUC
rnacentral:rRNA from 1 species